rnacentral:rRNA from 1 species
AUAAAUAACCCCAAACACACAAACUACUCCUAUAAACAAACCAUUUUUCCCCCUUAGUAUGGGCGACAGAAAAGGAACUAUUGGAGCGAUAGAGAAAGUACCGCAAGGGAACGCUGAAAGAGAAGUGAAACAACCCAGUAAAGCCUAAAAAAGCAGAGAUUCUACCUCGUACCUUUUGCAUCAUGAUUUAGCCAGUAAUACCCAAGCAAAGAGAACUUUAGUUUGGGCCCCCGAAACUAGGUGAGCUACUCCAAGACAGCCUAUUAAUAGGGCAAACCCGUCUCUGUGGCAAAAGAGUGGGAAGAGCUUUGAGUAGAGGUGACAGACCUACCGAACCUAGUUAUAGCUGGUUGCCUGAGAAUUGGAUAGGAGUUCAGCCUCCAGACUUCUCCAUUCGCCAUGGUCUUACCCCUACCGAUAUCCCAAAGAAGUCUAGAGAGUUAAUCAAAGGGGGUACAGCCCCUUUGAGACAAGAUACAACUUUCCCAGGAGGGUAAAGAUCAUAUUUACCCAAGGUAACAAUGCCCAGGUGGGCCUAAAAGCAGCCAUCCUAAUAGAAAGCGUUAAAGCUCAAGCAUUACACCUCCCCACAUAUUUAGAU